ACGCUCGACACCUACGGGAGCAGCAGUGGGGAAUAUUGCACAAUGGGGGAAACCCUGAUGCAGCGACGCCGCGUGAAGGAAGAAGUAUUUCGGUAUGUAAACUUCUAUCAGCAGGGAAGAAGAUGACGGUACCUGACUAAGAAGCCCCGGCUAACUACGUGCCAGCAGCAGCGGUAAUCUGAGCGGGCUGGCAAGGC
rnacentral:rRNA from 1 species